GACGAACGCUGGCGGCGUGCUUAACACAUGCAAGUCGAACGGAAAGGCCCUGCUUUUGUGGGGUGCUCGAGUGGCGAACGGGUGAGUAACACGUGAGUAACCUGCCCUUGACUUUGGGAUAACUUCAGGAAACUGGGGCUAAUACCGGAUAGGAGCUCCUGCUGCAUGGUGGGGGUUGGAAAGUUUCGGCGGUUGGGGAUGGACUCGCGGCUUAUCAGCUUGUUGGGGGGGUAGUGGCUUACCAAGGCUUUGACGGGUAGCCGGCCUGAGAGGGUGACCGGCCACAUUGGGACUGAGAUACGGCCCAGACUACUACGGGAGGGAGCAGUGGGGAAUAUUGCACAAUGGGCGGAAGCCUGGUGCAGCAACGCCGCGUGCGGGAUGACGGCCUUCGGGUUGUAAACCGCUUUCGCCUGUGACGAAGCGUGAGUGACGGUAAUGGGUAAAGAAGCACCGGCUAACUACGUG
rnacentral:rRNA from 1 species